rnacentral:rRNA from 1 species
GUCAAGUCAUCAUGGCCCUUACGGCCAGGGCUACACACGUGCUACAAUGGUCGGUACAAAGGGUUGCCAAGCCGCGAGGUGGAGCUAAUCCCAUAAAGCAUGUCGUAGUCCGGAUUGGAGUCUGCAACUCGACUCCAUGAAGUCGGAAUCGCUAGUAAUCGUGAAUCAGAAUGUCACGGUGAAUACGUUCCCGGGCCUUGUACACACCGUCCGUCACACCAUGGAAGCUGGU